CAGAUAUCUAAGAAAUGGUAAUACCAUGCUCUAGCAUUUGUAACAUGGUAAGUAAAUACACUCUGCCAGUGAUAAUUAUGAGAUUUCAUCACUUUUCAUUCCAGUUAGGUAGACCUAUUAGAAAAGGCCAGUGUUCCUUGUCAAACAUUAUGUAUUUUUUUCUAAUAGGUAUAAACUUCACCACAAUUUUAAUUAUAAGCAAAUCAUAAAAUACUGUAAGUAUGAAGAAACUUUGAAUUUAUUGCCCAGUGGUUAUUUUUUGUUAUAAUAGAUAGAUAUAUCAUAUUUUGCUGUCAAUAGCUUUGUAAUUCACAGUGUAACAUAAACAGUGUUGGGGUACCUUUUGAUUUCUGUUACUCUAAGGAAGUAAGAGUGAAAAGAAAUAGCGGACAGAGAAUGAAUACACUGCAGAGAAUGAAUGCCAUACAUUCUAAAUGCAGGCAACAUUAGGGCAGAAAAUGAUUUCUUCAUUUCUGUUCACUAAAUCUUUGAAGUCUCAUCAGAAUUAUAUGAUUAUUUGUUUUUUGCCACUGUGAAAAAAAAAGGAAGCAUGAGAUUUAAGCUUUCCUUAAGUUAAAAGCAAGUUAUUUUUGCAUAGAUCAGUUUGGAGUUAACCCCUGUUUAAAAAUGACACCAAUAAACUCCAAGCAUUUACAACAAG
rnacentral:lncRNA from 1 species